rnacentral:rRNA from 1 species
CCCCAACGCCGCCCAAAUCAUUGGUUGGCACCUCCGGAUGGGCUAGUAAAACUCAAUCUAGACGCAGCGGUGGGACGAUCGCUUGGAGCAGUGGCAGCUGUCUGCAGAGAUCGAGAUGGUGUUUUCAUGGGAGCAUCGGCGGUGGUUUUCCCCAACUUGUCAGAUCCCGGCAUUCUAGAGACACUUGCUAUCAGGGAGGCACUGGCUUUAUCCGAUGAUCUCUACGUCCGAAGGAUCCAUGUGGCAUCGGAUUGCAAGGUGGCCGUCGACGAUAUCCAUCAGCAAUAUAAAGGGAGCUACGGUGCAAUUGUGCAGGAGAUUAUGCAAUAUAAAUCGUCCUUUGAAACUUGUAAUAUUAUUCAUGAGUUUAGGAGCUCGAAUAUCGAGGCUCACAAACUGGCAAAGCACGCUUUAUCUCUUGGGACUGGCCACCAUGCUUGGUUAGGCCAGCCCAACGAACUUGAUUUCGUCCGUGUAAACAUUGUGACGAUCUAA